rnacentral:rRNA from 1 species
CCAAACUGUUGCCUCGGCGGGAUUUCUGCCCCGGGCGCGUCGCAGCCCCGGACCAAGGCGCCCGCCGGAGGACCAAUUUACAAACUCUUUUGUAUAUCCCAUCGCGGAUUCUUUACAUUCUGAGCUUUCUCGGCGCUCCUAGCGAGCGUUUCGAAAAUGAAUCAAAACUUUCAACAACGGAUCUCUUGGUUCUGGCAUCGAUGAAGAACGCAGCGAAAUGCGAUAAGUAAUGUGAAUUGCAGAAUUCAGUGAAUCAUCGAAUCUUUGAACGCACAUUGCGCCCGCCAGUAUUCUGGCGGGCAUGCCUGUCCGAGCGUCAUUUCAACCCUCGAACCCCUCCGGGGGGUCGGCGUUGGGGAUCGGCACUUACCUGCCGGCCCCGAAAUACAGUGGCGGUCUCGCCGCAGCCUCUCCUGCGCAGUAGUUUGCACACUCGCACCGGGAGCGCGGCGCGUCCACGGCCGUAAAACAACCCAAACUUCUGAAAUGUUGACCUCGGAUCAGGUAGGAAUACCCGCUGAACUUAAGCAUAUCAAUAAGCGGAGGAA